AAUAUUGCAGAUAAAAGCAACAGCCGUUUGGAAACACAGUAUAUUAAAGUGGCGGCAUCAAGAGGCUGUGGCCUGAAAUAAAUCCAAGCAAAGCCACAAGCGAUUCGUUUAGCUCACAUGUUUUAACAUCUAUGCUCUCAGUCUAAAAACUAGAGCUAAGCCCUGGAUUUCUUGAGAGGCUAGUGAUCGCCUUGUAGUGACGUAUAUUUCUUUUGGAAAACAGGUUGCCCAGAAGCCCUGAACAAAAAGGUAUACACUCAUUUUUAUUAGUGUCGGAGAACAUAUUCAGAAUUUGCAAAUUAUGAUCUGUUAAUAUUAUUGACUAUUUUUGUUUGCCGUGUCGCUUGAGUCAUCAGAAUCGUCCUCCGCUGGCUCUUAUUUCCUGUCAUGUGUUAGCAGGUCUGAUUGCACAGCCAGGAUGCUGCGUGUAGCUUUCACGUCCCUAAUGCGAUUUCCAUGAAGCACAUCCGGCAACCGAAAAAAAAUGACGCAAUAACGGUGGCUGGGGAAUAGAGAGAGCUAACCUGAUUUAGUCCCAAGUAGAUCCUUCAAGGCGAUAUGUAAAUGAUAUUUCUACAAACAAUUAAAACAUCUGGAAAUAACACUUUAUCAUAUGCAGAUGGUAAAUGAGAAGAAGGUGCAGAGCAUCACUUGAUGCUGGGCACCGCAUAACCUUUUCCUCCAAGUGAUUAUCUUGUGGAAAAUUCAUCAAGAUGAAUCAUUUCGACACCCUCCCACGGAUCUAAAGGUCAACCGUGAGAUUUCCCUCAGAAGUUGUCGGAAUGGACAAGCAAUUGAAGGCGACCAUUCAACUCUGUGACCUUGUCCUCUGUCGGCUAGCUGGGACAUGGGUUCGUCUCUGCGGCAAUAACAGCUGCUGGGGGGCUAUUCGGGACAUGGGUGAAGUUCCUCGACGUGUAGAGAUCAAGACCGCGAAGAAUGACAGAGACGAGCCCAGAACCCACAUCUGGGUGCAUCUCCUGCAGGAUUCUUCAUCUUGAUAUCAUCUUGACAUUAUCACCUCCAGUAUCUGCAGAAGAUGGGGCGGAAAUAAAGGUCCUCUGUAACAGUACUUGUGCAGACAUCUGUUUACGUAGCUCCAUGAAGUAUUUGCACUUAGUCAAAUGAUUCCUUGUUGUGUAAAUCUGCGUCUGCUUAUUUAAGCACUUGAGCAUGCAGGAAGCCCGUACUUGUAAAAUAACUGUGUCUGACAUGUCAAAUCAUAUUGUUACCCCUUCAUCUCACCUUUCCUGUCACUUCAAGCCUCGGUAUUCACAAGUAUGUAAUUAAUGUCAGUCUUUAUCUCCUGUCUUGACCUACAUACCCCCUACCUAUAAAAACAAUUAGUGUAACUGGAUUUGAUUUACAUAUUGACAAAUAAUCAGAAUUCUCUGACAAGUAAUUAGUAAGCAAUCUUACUGGGCCUUUCUUUCAGAGGUUUUACGGUAGCUACACUACCGGUAUUCAAACUCGAUAAAAAAAGAUCAAUUAACUACCCUUCAAGUACUCGGUCAGGCUGUGUGAUUCUUUAUGAUUCUUUAAAUCAGUUUUCCAAAAGCCAAGCUACAAUAUCGUUAAUGGCUUCAACACAUUUCUUGUAAUGUCACUUUAUGUGAAUCAGUCAUGGUCCUAAGUUUGUCAAAGUAAUGUACUUUAUUGAUAACUUCUAAAUAACGUGAUAUGAAUAUACCUCAAAUACUGCAUACAUAGGAAGUUCCUUAAGAAAAGUGGUAAUCAUAUAAUACUUUGCCCAUCUGAUUAGAAAA